rnacentral:rRNA from 1 species
UACGUAGGGCGCAAGCGUUGUCCGGAAUUAUUGGGCGUAACGAGCUCGUAGGCGGCUUGUCACGUCGGUUGUGAAAGCCCGGGGCUUAACCCCGGGUCUGCAGUCGAUACGGGCAGGCUAGAGUUCGGUAGGGGAGAUCGGAAUUCCUGGUGUAGCGGUGAAAUGCGCAGAUAUCAGGAGGAACACCGGUGGCGAAGGCGGAUCUCUGGGCCGAUACUGACGCUGAGGAGCGAAAGCGUGGGGAGCGAACAGG